UCGAGAAUCUUCCGCAAUGGGCGAAAGCCUGACGGAGCGACGCCGCGUGCGGGAUGAAGGCCUUCGGGUUGUAAACCGCUGUCAGUGGGGAGGAAAUGCACGGGGGUUCUCCCUCGUGUUUGACCGAUCCGCAGAGGAAGCACAGGCUAAGUUCGUGCCAGCAGCCGCGGUAACACGAACUGUGCAAACGUUAUUCGGAAUCACUGGGCUUAAAGAGUUCGUAGGCGGCGCGCUAAGUCGGGUGUGAAAGCCCUCGGCUCAACCGAGGAAUUGCGCCCGAUACUGGCGUGCUUGAGUGAGAUAGAGGUGAGCGGAACUGAUGGUGGAGCGGUGAAAUGCGUUGACAUCAUCAGGAACACCGGUGGCGAAAGCGGCUCACUGGGUCUCAACUGACGCUGAGGAACGAAAGCUAGGGUAGCGAACGG
rnacentral:rRNA from 1 species